UACGAAGGGGGCUAGCGUUGUUCGGAAUUACUGGGCGUAAAGCGCGCGCAGGCGGUCUUCCAAGUCUGUGGUGAAAGCCCGGAGCUCAACUCCGGAACUGCCAUUGAAACUGUUGGACUUGAGUACGAGAGAGGUGAGUGGAAUUCCCAGUGUAGAGGUGAAAUUCGUAGAUAUCAGGAGGAACACCGGUGGCGAAGGCGGGUCUCUGGGCCGAAACUGACGCUGAGGAGCGAAAGCGUGGUGAGCGAACAGG
rnacentral:rRNA from 1 species